CCUACGGGUGGCUGCAGUGGGGAAUAUUGGACAAUGGGGGCAACCCUGAUCCAGCCAUGCCGCGUGUGUGAAGAAGGCCCUCGGGUUGUAAAGCACUUUCAGUGAGGAAGAACGCCUGGUGGUUAAUACCCAUCAGGAAAGACAUCACUCACAGAAGAAGCACCGGCUAACUCCGUGCCAGCAGCCGCGGUAAUACGGAGGGUGCGAGCGUUAAUCGGAAUUACUGGGCGUAAAGCGCGCGUAGGUGGCUUGAUAAGCCGGUUGUGAAAGCCCCGGGCUCAACCUGGGAACGGCAUCCGGAACUGUCAAGCUAGAGUGCAGGAGAGGAAGGUAGAAUUCCCGGUGUAGCGGUGAAAUGCGUAGAGAUCGGGAGGAAUACCAGUGGCGAAGGCGGCCUUCUGGACUGACACUGACACUGAGGUGCGAAAGCGUGGGUAACAAACAGGAUUAGAUACCCCGGUAGUC
rnacentral:rRNA from 1 species